AUAAAACCUAAACAUUUUCUCUCCUCCUCCCUCGCGACGGCGUCUCCUCUCCUCGGGUGAAGACCGCAGCUCAAACCUAGGCGAUUCCGACGGCCGACGAGCUCUCUCCUCCACGGAUUCUUCACGAAGCCGAACUUCUCUCGGCAAGGAGAGCGCGCGGGCACAAGAAGAAGUCAAAAGUUUCAAGCUUUGGAAACCUAGACCUUCCUCUCCUUCGGUUGUAAGUCCAAGAACCCUCGAUAAAGGAAAAGCUAAAAUAUAAAAGGGAGGCGACAGGGUGGUGGUGAUGAUGAAGGUGUGUGGUGACUGGACUGUGGAGAGAUCUAGAGUUAAUUGACAAUAUUGUCAAAAACCUUCUGUUUAAUUCUUUAGUUUUCCUUAAGUGCUAUUAUGAGUUGAGACUGUAUUUGAGUUUAUUCUACACUUGUAAUUGGUUUACUUGUGUUAUUUGUGGAGUACCGUAGUUGGUUAUUUAUGCUAGAGUAGUUCUUUCUUUUCA